rnacentral:rRNA from 1 species
AUGGCGGCGGCAGCGCCGGCGGACGCGAAGGCGGAGGCCGCCAAGAUGGACCUCCUCGAGGACGACGACGAGUUCGAGGAGUUCGAGAUCGACCAAGAAUGGGAUGACAAGGAAGAUGGCAACGAAGCUGUCCAGCAAUGGGAGGAUGACUGGGAUGAUGACGACGUGAACGAUGAUUUCUCACUGCAGCUGAGGAAAGAGCUGGAGGGAGGCAACACUCAGAAGAGCUGA